AUUUAAAUAAUUUUCAUACCUUUUUGGGAUUGCAAAAAGCAAAAUUUGAUUCAUUAUCCCACUUUUUAAAAUAUAUGUGACAAAGUUGCUUCGAAAUCACCAUCACGCAGUAGCAUGUUUAUUUACCCUCAUCCUUUUGACUGAAUAAAGUUUAUCUUUUUGAAAAGCUAUUUGUUUUAUAGCUCUUGGUUACCGGUUUACAUUUAUAUCAUUUUUGGCA